AGCGAACGCUGGCGGCAGGCCUAACACAUGCAAGUCGAGCGCCGUAGCAAUACGGAGCGGCAGACGGGAGAGUAACACGUGGGAACGUACCCUUUGGAUCGGAACAACCCAGGGACACUUGGGCUAAUACCGGACAAGCCCUUACGGGGAAAGAUUUAUCGCCGAAGGAUCGGCCCGCGUAGGAUUAGCUUGUUGGUGGGGUAAGGGCCCACCAAGGCGACGAUCAGUAGCUGGUCUGAGAGGAUGAUCAGCCUCACUGGGACUGGGACACGGCCCAGGCUCCUACGGGAGGCAGCAGUGGGGAAUAUUGGACAAUGGGCGCAAGCCUGAUCCAGCCAUGCCGCGUGGGUGAUGAAGGCCCUAGGGUUGUAAAGCCCUUUCGGCGGGAAAGAUAAUGACGGUACCCGCAGAAGAAGCCACGGCUAACUACGUGCCAGCAGCCGCCGUAAAAC
rnacentral:rRNA from 1 species